ACGCUGGCGGCGUGCCUAACACAUGCAAGUCGAACGGACGAGGGGAGCUUGCUCCCCAAGUUAGUGGCGGACGGGUGAGUAACACGUGAGCAACCUGCCCUUCGGAGGGGGACAACAGUUGGAAACGACUGCUAAUACCGCAUAAUGUAUUUUUGGAGGCAUCUCCGGGAUACCAAAGAUUUUAUCGCCGAAGGAUGGGCUCGCGUCUGAUUAGAUAGUUGGCGGGGUAACGGCCCACCAAGUCUGCGAUCAGUAGCCGGACUGAGAGGUUGAACGGCCACAUUGGGACUGAGAUACGGCCCAGACUCCUACGGGAGGCAGCAGUGGGGAAUAUUGGGCAAUGGGGGGCAACCCUGACCCAGCAACGCCGCGUGGAGGAAGAAGGCUUUCGGGUUGUAAACUCCUUUGACGAGGGACGAUCAUGACGGUACCUCGAAGACAAGCCACGGCUAACUACGUGCCAGCCGCGGC
rnacentral:rRNA from 1 species